rfam:Echinostoma caproni strain Egypt genome assembly, scaffold: ECPE_contig0004728
UAGGCCCUAUGACGGCGUGCACUUAAACCCACGGGAGGUGCAUGCCCGAUGUUCCCCGGCGUC